rnacentral:rRNA from 1 species
GUGUCAGCAGCCGCGGUAAUCCUAGCGGUCCAAGUCGCAGCCAACAUUAUUAGGUCUAAAACAUCCGUAGCUUGCUCUGUAAGUCUUCUGUGAAAUCCGGCAUCUCAAGUGUCGGGCGGGCAGAAGGUACUGCAGUGCUAGAGACUGGGGAGACGUAAGAAGUACAUCUAAAGUAGUGGUAAAAUACGUUAAUCUUAGGUGGACUCACAACAGCGAAGGCAUCUUACGAGAACAGUUCUGACAGUGAGGGAUGAAGGCUAGGGGCGCAAAACGGAUUAGAAACCCCAGUAGUCC